GCGGGUGUAGCUCAAUGGUAGAGCAGGAGCUUCCCAAGCUUAAGACGAGGGUUCGAUUCCCUUCACCCGCUCCA
rnacentral:tRNA from 61 species